UGGGGAAUAUUGGACAAUGGGCGCAAGCCUGAUCCAGCCAUGCCGCGUGAGUGAUGAAGGCCCUAGGGUUGUAAAGCUCUUUCACCGGUGAAGAUAAUGACGGUAACCGGAGAAGAAGCCCCGGCUAACUUCGUGCCAGCAGCCGCGGUAAUACGAAGGGGGCUAGCGUUGUUCGGAUUUACUGGGCGUAAAGCGCACGUAGGCGGACUUUUAAGUCAGGGGUGAAAUCCCGGGGCUCAACCCCGGAACUGCCUUUGAUACUGGAAGUCUUGAGGUUGGUAGAGGUGGAAGGAAUUCCGGGUGUAGAGGGGAAAUUCGGAAAUUUUCGGGGGAACAACAGUGGCGAAGGCGGCUCGCUGGACCAAUACUGACGCUGAGGUGCGAAAGCGUGGGGAGCAAACAGG
rnacentral:rRNA from 1 species